CAGCCGCCGCGGUAAGACGUAGGGGGCGAGCGUUGUCCGGAAUUACUGGGCGUAAAGGGCGUGUAGGCGGCCUAGCAAGUCAGUUGUGAAAUCCCAGGGCUUAACCCUGGGCUAGCAACUGAAACUGUUAAGCUUGAGUGCAUCAGAGGAGAGCGGAAUUCCUAGUGUAGCGGUGACAUGCGUAGAUAUUAGGAGGAACACCCGUGGCGAAGGCGGCUCUCUGGGGUGCAACUGACGCUGAGGCGCGAAAGCUGGGGGAGCGAACGGGAUUAGAUACCCCGGUAGUCCCAGCCGUAAACGAUGGUCACUAGGUGUAGGAGGUAUCGACCCCUUCUGUGCCGCAGCAAACGCAUUAAGUGACCCGCCUGGGGAGUACGGUCGCAAGACUGAAACUCAAAGGAAUUGACGGGGACCCGCACAAGCGGUGGAGCAUGUGGUUUAAUUCGAUGCAACGCGAAGAACCUUACCAGGGCUUGACAUGUAUGGGAAGUUUGCCGAAAGGCAGAUGUGCCUCUUCGAGGAGCUCAUACACAGGUGGUGCAUGGCC
rnacentral:rRNA from 1 species